GCCUCACUCAAUGAAUCACCAGUGAAGGGAGAUGCCCACUUGAUAACCCCAAUGAUAUACUUGCAUCUACAGGAUUUGUUUUUUUAAAGAGCUAGUUAAUAUGUAGCUAGUAGUUUUUGCAUAUGGAGUCAUUAAUUGUAAGUUGGUGUAUUUAGUUAGAUAAUAUUUUGAUUUUGGGCUUGGUUUUCACAGUUGAGUGCUUAUCCUGGAGUUAUAGCAUGUGCUUUGUGUUUUAAUUGCAAUUCACUACAGGAGUGUAUUAAAUAGAAACAGGAUUAGGCUAUUCAGCCCUUUGUCUAUGAUCCAUCAUUCAACAAGCUGAUGGCUGAUCUUUUACCUCGGAAUCACUUUCCUGUCUUAAUCCUAUAAUUCAAGAUUCCUUUAAUAUCUAUCGAUCUAAGGAUCUCUGUCUUUAGUGUGAGCCUCUACAGUCUCCUGGAGUAGAGAUUGCAAAGAUUCACUACCUUGACAAGUAAAGAUGGUUCUUUUGAUUAUCAGUUUCCUCAUUUUGAAAAUGUGACUCCUGGUCUGAAACUGCCUUGCCAGGAGAAACAUCAGUCCUGCAUGCAACCCAGUAAGAAUGUUCUAUGUUUAAAUGAAGGCAGUUCUUACUCUUCUAUACUUGAGACAGUAAAGGCUUAAUCUCUUCACAUCUCACAGAUCCACUAUCCCAAGAAUCAACCAGGUAAUCCUUACCUGCGCUCUCUCUUCCACAAGGCAAAGCUUCACACAGUAUUCUAGACGUGGUCUCAUCUGGGCCCUAUGCAACUAGAGUGAGGCUUCUGUAUCCUUAUACUCAGAUUUGUUUCCAAUAAAUGGUUUCCUGUUCUUACGUGGCUGCUUACGUGGAAAUUCCCUUUCAAGUGAUUUGUGUACAAAGUGACUCAAGUCACUCUAAGCAGAAUGCGGGCGAACCUCAUUGAAACAUACAGAAUAGUGAAAAGCUUUGAUAGUGUGGAUAUGGGGAGAAUGUUUCCACUAGUGGGAGAGUCUAGGACUAGAGAUCAUAGCCUCAGAAUUAAAGGACGUUCUUUUAGGAAAGAGAUGAGGAGAAAUUUCUUUAAUCAGAGGGUGGUGAUUCUGUGGAGGCCGUCAGUGGAUAUUUUUAAGGCAGAGAUAGACAGAUUCAUGAUUAUUACAAGUGUCAGAGAUUAUGGGAAGAAGGCAGGAGAAUGGGGUUCGGAGGGAGAUAGAUCAGCCAUGAUUGAAUGGCGGAGUAAACUUGAUGGUCUGAAUGGCCUAAUUCUACUCCUAUUCCUUAUGACAGGGGUUGGCAGCCUUGUUCUGCAUAGGGGCCAGGACCCAUGUCUGUGAGUGGAUGGUGGGCCAUAUCUAUCGCCAUAGUUAAUAAAUGGAGAUAAACACUAAAUGCUGGAGUAACUCAGGUGAAGAGGCAGCAUCUCUGGAGAGAAGGAAUGGGUGCCAUUUUGGGUCAAGACCUUUCUUCAGACUGAGAGUCACGAAGAGAGAAACGAGAGAUAUGAAUGGGACUUUGAACAGCACACCAAAAGAUUGGACUCUUCGGCCCACAAUGUCUGUGGAGAACGUGAUGACAAAUUAAACUAUUCCCUUCUGUCUGCGCAUGAUCUAUAUUGGAGAGCUUCUAGCCCCAAUGGCAAUCAUGGCUACAUUCUUAAAACCUGUGAUGACCAACUGCCUGGAUUUUUUAUGGACAUCUUUAACCUCUCAUAACUAAGAUUAUGAGGUUCUCAUCUGCUUUAGUAAUACCAAAGCCCAAGAAUAGUAAGGUGACAUGCCUCAAUGACGACUGACCGGUAUCACUAAUGUCCGUGGUGAUAAAGUGCAUUGAGAGCUUGUUUAUGAUACAUAUCAACCCCUGCAUCACUCGAAACCUGGACCCACUACAAUUUGCCUACCACCAUUAAGAUCAAUAUAUAGGUUGUGAUUUCGCUGGCUCUUCACUCUGCAUAGGAGCACUUGGGCAUCAGCAACAUGUACGUCAGGCUGUUGUUCAUCGACCACAGCUUGGCUUCCAACACCAUCAUCCCCUCCAAACUUAUCACCAAACUUGGAACUGGGUCACUGCUCAUCCCUAAGUAAUUGGAUCCUUGACAUCCUCAUCGGCAGACCACAAUCAGUACAAAUUGGCUGCAACAUUUCCUCCUUGAUAACCAUCAACAUAGGGGCACCUCAAGACUGUGUACUGUAUUCCCUGCUCUACUCACUCUAUACCCCUGACUGUGCACCCAGACACGACUCCACGCCAUCUUUAAAUUCGUCAAUGAUACCACCGUUUUUGGACGUAUAACGGGUAACGUUGUGUCAGAGUACAGGGAUUGAAAAUCUGAUUGUAUGGUACAAGAACGACAAUCUCAAAAACCUUGACCUCAAUGUUAGCAAGACCAAGGAACCGAUUUUUGACUUCAGGGGGGCAUAUGUCAUGGACCUGUCUUCAUCGAUGAGAUGAGUCAACAGUUUCAUGUUUCCGGGCAUGCAUGUUUCUGAAGAUCUGCCAUGGGUCUAGCACAUUGAUGCCAUCACAAAGAAAGUUCAUCAACACCUCUACUUCCUGAGAAGGUUGAGGAGAUAUGGUAUGUCGACAAAUACUAUUAAUUUCUACAGGUGUACAGUGGAGAAUGUACUGAGUGGUUGCAUCACGGCCUGGUUCAGUAACUUGAAUGACCAAAAAUGAUAGAGAAUAGAGUGUGGUUGACACUGCCCAGUUAUCACAGAUAUUGACCUCCCCACCAUUGAAGGAAUCUAGAGGAAGAAGUGAAUCAAAACGGCAUAUUAUCAAAGACCCACUCCACCCUGGUCACGCUAUGAUUUCAAUACGACCAUGGGCAAGGUGGUAUAGGGGGACUCAAAACCAUAUCCACCAGAUUCAAGAGCAGCUUCGUCCCAGCAACUAUCAAGCUCUUGGACACUACACACACUAAUCUACACAACUAUGAACUUCUAAGGACUGCCUUUGUUUGUAUGAAAGACUUCAGUUUUGCAAUAUCAUGGUUGAAUAGCAUUAUGGUUAUUAAUUUAUUGUUUUUUUGAAAAUUAUAUGUUAUCUUUGUAUUAUUAUUGUGUUUACGGGCCUGUUAAAAUGCAGCAAUUAAAAAUGUAAUUGUUCCAUUGUAGGUACAUAUAACAAUUGAAUACCUUUGACUCUUGGUCUCUCCAUUACCUGCAAGUUUGUGUGGCUUUCUAAUAGCCUUUUAAACACCAGUAUUAUAUGUGCUUCCACCAUGUUACAAGCUAUCGCUCUCUGUAUAAAUUAAAUUGCCCCACACAUUUCCAUUCAACAUUACCCCUCUGACCUUAAAGCUAUGCCCACUAAAUGUGGAUUUCAAAUAUGUUGGAAACCUCACAUCUUGACGAAAUGCGACUCCUCCUAACAAACAAAGCAGACCAAUUCUUAAUGAUUUGGUCUCCAUUUAUCGACUUCUUACAAGCAUAUGGUGCAACAUAACCGUAGAAAUUAACUGUUUCAGGAUCGGGUGAAGGGUGGUCAAGAAUAAUAAAUUGCUAUUUCUCCUUCAGUCCCCUGUUUUCUAUCUCCUCUUUUUCUCUCUCUAUUUUCUCUCUUUUCUUCUUUCCUUCACCUCACUGUUCGAUAUCACGCACUUCUCUAUUUUUCUACUAUUCUCGUUCUUUUUUUCCAUUUACUGCAAAAAAAAAAACCAAGAAGUUGUACAUAAAAUGUAACAUGUCAAUAUAUAUUAGGUAUCUACAAGGUACCACAUUAUUGUACUUCUAUUAAAAUAAAAAAUUUAAAAAAAGCUAUGCCCACUAAUAUUUGAUAUUUACACCUCAUGUGUAAAAAGAUUCUGACUUUCUACCAAUCUAUGCCUCAUAAUUUUAUAAACAUUUCUCAACCUAUGAGCAGGGAGCCACGGAUUUGGACCCCAAGAUCCUACUCUACCAUUAAGGAUCCUGCCACCAACUGGAAAACUUUCCCCUUACAGUUGACCUCCCAAAAUGCAACAUCUCACCCUUGCCCAGAUUAAACUCCAUCAGCCAUUCUCUGCCCGUAUCGGUAACUGAUCUAUAUCCUUCUUCACUGAGUCUUUUUCACUGCCUACAACUCCACCAUUGUUUGGGUCAUCUGCAAAAUUACCAACCAACCCAUCUACAUUUUAAUCAGAGUCAUUUAUAAAUAUGUUGAAGAGGUCCCAGCACUGAUCCCUGUGUAACAACACUAGUCACAGAUCACCAUUCCACCCCCAGCACAUUCUUUCGUCUAUGGAUAAACCAGUUCCGAAUCUAAAUGACCCCAGUCAUUGUGGAUCUUAAUCGUAAUCUUCUGGAUUAGCCUCUUUCAUGGAAAUGAACGGUUUAGAGGGAUAUGGAUCAAAAGUGGGCAAAUGGGUCUAGCUUAGAUGGGGCUCCUUGGUCGGCAUGAAUGAGUUAGGCCGAAUGGACUGUUUCCAUGCUGUAUGACUAGCCUAUCAUGAGGGAACUCGUCAAAUGCCUGGUACUACUAAAGCCAAUGUAGAUAAUAUCCACUGCCACAUUAUUCUUAUAAACCAGGGCUGAACCGCCUGUUUUUUGUUGCUUUAAAUGGAUACUAAUUACUUGUAAAUUAUGUAUUAAUUCUUUAAAUGCAGCUCUUGCUUCUUUACUGUCUACCUUGCAAUGUAGUUUCCCAGUCUACCACAACCAAGUCAUGCCAAGUCAAUUUAGUAUGUUUUGAAUUUAAGAUCCAAGUUCAGAUCAAACAAAAAUCACACCAUUUUCUUCUAAUAUUCUCUCAUAAUUCAAUCCUUGCAUCCUAAAAGCCACAUACUUUCCAUAUCUUCAAUUAAACUUCUCGCUUUACACAAUUCUAGAUCUAAAAUAGCCUUUCUCUCAUGAGUACCUCAUGUUAAUGUUCUGGAAAACCAUCACUUCAUGGUUACAUAGAAACAUAGAAACACGGUGCAGGAGUAGGCUAUUCGGCCCUUCGAGCUUGCACCGCCAUUCAAUAUGAUCAUGGCUGAUCAUCCAACUCAGUAUCCCGUACCUGCCUUCUCUCCAUACCCUCUGAUCCCCUUAGCCACAAGGGCCACAUCUAACUCCCUCUUAAAUAUAGCCAAUGAACUGGCCUCAACUACAUCCUCCACACUGUUCACCUAUUUGGUUUUCCCAGUAUGUAUCUAGUUUAAAGGUUUACGUGACUGUUCAAAUUACCCUUGUUGAUGCACUGCAUUUUGUUAACAUACUAUGUUUUGUAUUUCGACCACAGUUUGAGGGCUUUUAUAUAACUUCAUAAUAUCUCCUGCUCCUUACUGGUAUGUCUAUCUAAACUGAUUUUAUCUUCUGAGCUAAGUUCCUUCCUUUCAAUUGCCUUUAUCUCAAAACCAGUGAUAUAAUUACAUCAUGAUCAAUGGUUAUUUUUCUUGUCACUGUUCUUCCAAAUGAUAAGUCACCCCUGAUUUACAUGCAGUAUACAAAAGAUGCUGGAAUUGGUUUAUUAACAUUUCUUACACAGGAGAUUUUACCACCCAUCAAAAGUGAUGAGCAGAAGCCAGAUAUCAGACCUAGAAAGUGUGAGUUUACAGGGCACGUACCAGUGUUAGAAGAAGACGGAUGAUGUAGCUCUUCAGGCUAACUGAAUCAAGGGAUAUGUGGAGAAAGCAGGAACGGGGUACUAAUUUUGGAUGAUCAGUCAUGAUCAUAUUGAAUGCCAGUGCCGGCUUGAAGAGCCGACUGGCCUACUCCUGCACCUAAUUUCUAUGUUUCUAUGACAUUGGCAGAUGUGCAUGCUGAUUACUGAAUCAUCACUCUUAUGAUGGGCCCUUGCAUCCAUCAUAUGGUCUGGUCAGACUGAUCCCUUGCGGUGACAUUGAGCUACCAAGCUCAGAAUCCCAGUGGAAUCUACAGCUUAUUAUGUUAAUAUACCUUGCCAGCUAUCCUGGUAGCAGCCAGAUGAGUCAGAAUUCAGAGAGCAGGACUAACGUGGAGAUUAUUAUGCUGCUGUCUGAUAAUUUCAGGUACACUGGGUGUUAGAAAUAGUCUCCUUUUUAUUUUAUCUUUCUGAAAAUGAAUGUUCAAAAUAAUGUAUUUUUGACAAAUUUUAUUUCUCUAUUUACUUAUAAUCUAUUGCACAUAACUACCUGGAAAUUAAAGUUUUCUAGUGAGUUA